rnacentral:misc_RNA from 1 species
UAUUUUCGUUUUUUUUUCUCGCCCGGUUCACUUGACUCGACGAUGCCCCGUGGAGUUUGAGACGCACCGGAAAUCGCCUCAAACGCCUUCGGCACGUGAAAGCGGAGACGCGCGGAUUACGUUUACCGAGAAACUCUCCAUUUCGUAUUUCGUCGCAUGUAACUAGCGUUACAUUAACCGCGCGAUGGGUCCUUGAGAGCGAGAAGUUGAACACUCCGGACGUUUCUCGAGAGGAGAAAGCGAUUCGCUUCAAGUAAAUAUGCUAUGCAUAACAUG